CCUACGUGUGGCAGCAGUGAGGAAUAUUGGUCAAUGGACGAGAGUCUGAACCAGCCAAGUAGCGUGAAGGAUGACUGCCCUAUGGAUUGUAAACUUCUUUUAUCAGGGAAUAAAAGGUUCCACGUGUGCGAGUAUGUAUGUACCAUAUGAAUAAGGAUCGGCUAACUCCGUGCCAGCAGCCGCGGUAAUACGGAGGAUCCGAGCUUUAUCCGGAUUUAUUGUGUUUAAAGGGAGCGUAGGUGGAUUGUUAGGUCAGUGGUGAAAGGUAGCGGCUCAAACGUAAAACUGCAGUUGAAACUGGCAGUAUUGAGUACAGUAUAGGUGAGCGGAAUUCGUGGUGUAGCGGUGAAGUGCUUAGAUAUCACGAAGAACCCCGAUUGCGAAGGCAGUUCACUGGACUGCAACUGACACUGAGGCUCGAAAGUGUGGGUAUCAAACAGGAUUAGAUACCCGAGUAGUC
rnacentral:rRNA from 1 species